rnacentral:ncRNA from 1 species
UAAUUGAAGAGUUUGAUCAUGGCUCAGAUUGAACGCUGGCGGCAGGCUUAACACAUGCAAGUCGAGGGGGAACGA